GAUGAAGAACGCAGCGAAAUGCGAUAAGUAGUGUGAAUUGCAGAAUUUAGUGAAUCAUCGAAUCUUUGAACGCACAUUGCGCCCUAUAGUAUUCUGUAGGGCAUGCCUGUUCGAGCGUUAUUGAGACCUCAAGCUCUGCUUGGAAAUGGGCGCUUGUCUUGCCUUGCAGACUCGCCUUAAAAUCAUUGGCAGCUGAUUUACAAUGUUUGGUGCACAGUACAUGAGCCCAAGUGUUGCAAUGAGUGGCCCAAAAGUAUACAAUAGAAGCUUAACCUCGGAUCAGGUAGGGAUACCCGCUGAACUUAAGCAUAUCAAUAAGCGGAGGA
rnacentral:misc_RNA from 1 species